CCUACGGGUGGCAGCAGUGGGGAAUAUUGCUCAAUGGGGGAAACCCUGAAGCAGCAACGCCGCGUGGAGGAUGAAUGUUUUAGGGUUGUAAACUCCUUUUGUUAGGGAAGAUAAUGACGGUAUCUAACGAAUAAGCACCGGCUCACUCCGUGCCAGCAGCCGGUGUACUACGGAGGGUGCAAGCGUUACUCGGAAUCACUGGGCGUAAAGAGAGCGUAGGCGGGAUAGCAAGUCAGAUGUGAAAGUCUAUGGCUUAACCAUAGAACUGCAUUUGAAACUGUUAGUCUAGAGUAUGGGAGAGGUAGGUGGAAUUCUUGGUGUAGGGGUAAAAUGCGUAGAGAUCAAGAGGAACACUCAUUGCGAAGGCGACCUGCUAGAACAUAACUGACGCUGAUGCGCGAAAGUGUGGGGAGCAAACAGGAUUAGAUACCCUAGUAGUC
rnacentral:rRNA from 1 species